rnacentral:lncRNA from 1 species
AAUGAAUAUCGACCGGUAGCGUCGAUAUCUGUAACAUCUGGAUGAAGCAUUAGUUUAUUUUCUUUUCGUUUGACACUUGAUAUUGACAGACAACAUUGGCAGCUGUCAGUAACAACAGUGUUAAAUGCAAUGGUCAGAAAAUAAGUGUGAAAUUCCAGAAAAGACCCUUUGACAAUUCCAGCAUAUCGUGUACGCACUCAUGGAAGACGGCAAGAUAGAAAGUGGCGUGCAUAGGGCUGGUAGAUAAGAUUUUAACUCUCUUCCUGAAUAAGGAGGCAGCAAUGGCGAAGGGGAUCCAUGCAAGGAGGACCCAUGUAUUUAUAUUGGACUACUACUAUUUUACACCGCAAUUUAAAAUAACAUCUUAGUCAUCAACAAAAAGGAGACUUUCCCAGUGCUUUACCACCCUUGGAUGGCUAUCAGUAGGAAUUCAAAAGAGCAACGGCCUCAAAUUACUACCCUGUGGCACAGCAAAAACUGCAGAAAAACCCUCAGACCUUGAUUUUGCAACUUUAAAAACCUGUUGUAGUUAGGUCAGGUACUUUACGUGAAAAUCGAGUAGAAAAUAGCCCACUAAGGUCAAAGCAAGAAUGGAAAACUGAAAAAAAGGCUUCUGUCAUAAGUCUGCAUGUCAAGAUGUUGUAGUUGUUCAAUGGAAGGAACAAAGUUUUAGCAGCUGCUUCAAAUUUUGGCGUAUCUGCAAACACAACAGCUCCACGUUACUGCAGAGAAACUAAAUCUAAGGUAAAUGUUCCACAGCCAGGCAUAAUAUAUAAUUAUAAUAGAGGGAUGGGUGGGGUAGAUAAAUUAGACAACAUGGAUGCCAACUAUAGGGCCCGAAUAAGACAAAGAAAAUGGUGGUGGCCAAUUUUAUUUUUCGAAGAAACAUAGCCAUAGCUUUGCGGCCUUCAUAUGGCGUAAAGUCUGUAAAAGGGAAACUAAGACCAACCUUACCGCUGGAUGUUAGGCUUGAUAAUAUCAAUCAUUUGGUGGAAUAUUCUGAGACUGAUAGAAAAUGUGCAUUUUGCAAAAAAAGGCAAAUUUUGUUUGCAUAAAAUAUAAUGACUUCAAGGCUUAUCACACUAAAUAGGCAUAUCAAAGAAUACAUUUUUUGUUGAUUAUCAGAAUUUUUAUUUUGUUAUUUUUAGCACAAUGUCCCUCAUAAGGGACUGUUCUUUUUUUCAAAUGAAUACAUUUCUUGUUUUUUUUCCACAUUUGCCUGCUUAUUUCAAGUACACUAAACAAAUGUUUAAUAAAAAACGUAUGUGUUUCUUAUUCGAUGCUACUUCAUGCACUAAUGGGUUAAAUAAGUUUUGGUUGAAAGUCUCUUUACUGCUUUAUUUUUAUAUCAAAAAAAUAUUACUGUAGCUUUCGCUAAAAUCCGAUAGGGGCAUUGACUUGGGGAUUUACGUUAUUCAAGUUAACGAUAUAUAUUUUUUUAUGCUAUUAAGAGCAGGGAACAAAGCUAAACAGAUUGGUAAAAACCGCAUUCAAAUAUAACUACUCAAACUAAAGUUAUUAAAAAAAAAUGUAACCAUUAAAAAAUUAAAAUUACAAAAAUCGUCGUAAAUUCAUAUUGCAUUAGUCGAAUUGAGAAAACUUGUGUUUAAAUGAAUAUUCGUUUAAAGAAAGAAACUUAGUAUAAGUAGGUUUUCGAAAAUCCAUGAGGAGGCGGUCUUUCAUAUAAUACAUUUAUAUUAAUAGAUUAUUUCGUCUUAGAUUUUCAAAAUGGGCGCCCCUAUGUUCACGCGUAGACUUUGUUUAGCUAAGAAAAGGUACAGCACGUGUUGUUCGGCUCGGUUGCGCAGUAAAUUUGUUUACGCCGCUGCCAAAGCAACGGUAUCGAUCGCCCCGAUUUGCAUAUAAACACUGCCGUUGCGUUAAUUCUUAUAUUUGUGUUCUGUGCUUUUUAGUGUUUAUGUCUUUUCUUAAAAAAGGCGCGCUACUGUCGCUAAUCGCGCGUUAUUAGGGGACAUAACUUGGCGCAGCUUUGAAACAGAUAGUGUACCUUUCCUUAGCUAGACAAACUCUAGCUGCAAUUUUUCCCUCCCUCGUAGAGAUAUUGACACAUUCAAUUUCCUCUCUAGGCAAACCAUGUAUCGCAUUUUAAAUUCUGAGGAUCAUAUUUUCUGAAUGUCGGCCUGGUCCGAAAAACGAGGUCUUUUACUCUUCCCUAGAGGUAAAAAUCUAAAACGGUCAAGUGGGGUGACCUGGCUGGCCAUAGAAACAGGCUUUCUCUUUCUAUACAUCGAGUAUAGGAAGUAUGGUAAUGCAGCAUUUAACACCUAAUUGCAGCAAUGGGUAUUGUCGCGCCAACGGAAAGCUACCCGCUUUAGGUGGUUACGACGGUUCGAUAAAAAUAAAACACCCAGUAAAACAGUCACUAAGAUGCUUUAUUUAAACAAGGGAUUAUUACAAAAGUUAACUAGCGAAAUUAAAAAAAAAAAAAAAAACCGGAACGAAAAAAGAUACAUAAAAAGUGUUCUUUAAAAUUAAUGUGUACUCUUGACCGACUAAUACUAAAAAAUCUAUUCGAUAUAAAAUCUCAAAGCCUUUCACCGAACAAAACAGUUUUUUUAUUUCGUUUCCUUACCGUUUAGAAUUUUAUUUAUUAAAACAUUAAAUAAAAUUCUGCUUAUGAGGCAGCGGCUUCGAUGGUAUACCCGUGAAAUACAGACUAAACAACUUUUUUCCCGGUGCCUUAAAUGGAUUUAUUAAGAUCCAGAUUUACAUCUCCCAAUAAAAUUGGCAAUGUGUUUCUGCGGAACUCUAGAUAUUACCUCUUAGUGCCUCGUCAAAGACAUAUGGUCCUAUAAUUGUGCCACCUAUUAUACCACACCAUACAUUUAUACUACAGCGUCCUUGAUGCUGAAGUUCUUGCUUCCAAUGGGGAUUUAUGAAGACCAAUAAUGUAUAUUAUGGCGAUUUACCCCACCAUUGCUAUUAAAAGUAGACUCGCCUGUACAAAGAAUUCUGUAUAGAAAUUGAGGGUUUUCGUUAACCAUUCCCAGAAGCCAAUGGCAAUAAUCGAGUCGUCUAUCGAAAUCCGUAUCUGUCAAAGCUUAGUGCAGAACGACAUGAUAGGGAUGUAAUCUGAAUGUAAACUAAAUUUGCAUCAAUAUGAAUCCUAUUUGAUUGACCUCUAAGAUAUUGUAUAUACAGGGUGAUUCAGUUUAAGCGUCAUUAAUUUUAAUACGUGAUAGAGAAUUUAAAAAGAAAUAAACUUUCAUUAUAAAAUUUUUCUCACAAAUGUUUAAUAACAAAGAUACAGGGUGCUAAAGUUAAGAAUAAUUAAUUGUUUAUUUAUCAUAACUUUUAAACUACCUGCUCAAUUUUAAUUAAAUUUGCGCAUGCAGGUUAUUGUACUGAAUUAUCAAGUACUGAUAAAGGCAAUUUCUAAUAAAAUUGCCAGUGGCGUAACAUACGGAGGGACUUGGUCCCUUUUUGUCUCAAAUCUGC